rnacentral:rRNA from 1 species
UGGGGAAUCUUGCGCAAUGGGCGAAAGCCUGACGCAGCGACGCCGCGUGAGGGAAGAAGGCCUUCGGGUUGUAAACCUCUUUCAGGAGGGACGAAGCUACUCGGGUUAAUAGCCCAGAGGGUGACGGUACCUCCAGAAGAAGCCCCGGCUAACUACGUGCCAGCAGCCGCGGUAAUACGUAGGGGGCAAGCGUUGUCCGGAAUCAUUGGGCGUAAAGCGCGUGUAGGCGGCCAGAUAAGUCCGCUGUGAAAUCUCGAGGCUCAACUUCGAGCUGUCGGUGGAAACUGUCUGGCUAGAGUCCGGAAGAGGAGAAUGGAAUUCCUGGUGUAGCGGUGAAAUGCGCAGAUAUCAGGAAGAACACCCGUGGCGAAGGCGGUUCGUCUGGGACGGUACUGACGCUGAGACGCGAAAGCGUGGGGAGCGAACAGGAUUAGAUACCCUGGUAGUCCACGCCGUAAACGAUGGGAACUAGGUGUGGGGGGUGUCGACUCCUCCGUGCCGAAGCUAACG